rnacentral:rRNA from 1 species
CAUUACGGCCAUAUCACGUUGAAAGCACCGGUUCUCGUCCGAUCACCGUAGUUAAACAACAUCGAGCCUAGUUAGUACUUAGAUGGGUGACCGCUUGGGAAUCCUAGGUGCUGUAAGCA